AAACUUUCAGCAACGGAUCUCUUGGCUCUGGCAUCGAUGAAGAACGCAGCGAAAUGCGAUACGUAAUGCGAAUUGCAGAAUCCAGUGAGCCAUCGAAUCUUUGAACGCACAUU
rnacentral:rRNA from 3 species